rnacentral:rRNA from 1 species
GGGGGCGUGCUAUAAUGCAAGUCGAGCGGACAGAAGGGAGCUUGCUCCCGGAUGUUAGCGGCGGACGGGUGAGUAACACGUGGGUAACCUGCCUGUAAGACUGGGAUAACUCCGGGAAACCGGAGCUAAUACCGGAUAGUUCCUUGAACCGCAUGGUUCAAGGAUGAAAGACGGUUUCGGCUGUCACUUACAGAUGGACCCGCGGCGCAUUAGCUAGUUGGUGAGGUAACGGCUCACCAAGGCGACGAUGCGUAGCCGACCUGAGAGGGUGAUCGGCCACACUGGGACUGAGACACGGCCCAGACUCCUACGGGAGGCAGCAGUAGGGAAUCUUCCGCAAUGGACGAAAGUCUGACGGAGCAACGCCGCGUGAGUGAUGAAGGUUUUCGGAUCGUAAAGCUCUGUUGUUAGGGAAGAACAAGUGCAAGAGUAACUGCUUGCACCUUGACGGUACCUAACCAGAAAGCCACGGCUAACUACGUGCCAGCAGCCGCGGUAAUACGUAGGUGGCAAGCGUUGUCCGGAAUUAUUGGGCGUAAAGGGCUCGCAGGCGGUUUCUUAAGUCUGAUGUGAAAGCCCCCGGCUCAACCGGGGAGGGUCAUUGGAAACUGGGAAACUUGAGUGCAGAAGAGGAGAGUGGAAUUCCACGUGUAGCGGUGAAAUGCGUAGAGAUGUGGAGGAACACCAGUGGCGAAGGCGACUCUCUGGUCUGUAACUGACGCUGAGGAGCGAAAGCGUGGGGAGCGAACAGGAUUAGAU